rnacentral:tRNA from 1 species
AGUUUUAUAAUCAAUUAUGAUAUUAAAUUGCAAGUUUAAAAGUAAAUUAUAGGAAUUUUUUAAAACUU